AUUAGACAACACACACCGUCAUUAAAACAAGUAAAAUAUAAUAUUAAAAUUUAACGUUAAAUGAGGAAUAUCGAAGGUCGGUAAUAAAAAAAGACCUGCAUUAUCAAUCAUUUUUCAGAAAAAAAAAUUUU